rnacentral:rRNA from 1 species
CCUACGGGGGGCAGCAGUGGGGAAUAUUGGGCAAUGGGCGCAAGCCUGACCCAGCAACGCCGCGUGAAGGAAGAAGGCUUUCGGGUUGUAAACUUCUUUUCUCAGGGACGAAGAAAGUGACGGUACCUGAUGAAUAAGCCACGGCUAACUACGUGCCAGCAGCCGCAGUAAUACGUAGGUGGCAAGCGUUAUCCGGAUUUAUUGGGUGUAAAGGGCGUGUAGGCGGGGUAGCAAGUCAGAUGUGAAAACUCAGGGCUCAACCCUGAGCCUGCAUUUGAAACUGUGUUUCUUGAGUGCUGUAGAGGCAAGCGGAAUUCGGUGUGUAGCGGUGAAUUGCGUAGAUAUACGGAGGAACACCAGUGGCGAAGGCGGAUUGCUGGACAGUAACUGACGUUGAUGCGCGAAAGUGUGGGGAUCAAACAGGAUUAGAUACCCUGGUAGUC